AGGGAAUAUUGGACAAUGGGCGAAAGCCUGAUCCAGCAAUGCCGCGUGAGUGAUGAAGGCCUUAGGGUUGUAAAGCUCUUUUACCCGGGAUGAUAAUGACAGUACCGGGAGAAUAAGCUCCGGCUAACUCCGUGCCAGCAGCCGCGGUAAUACGGAGGGAGCUAGCGUUGUUCGGAAUUACUGGGCGUAAAGCGCACGUAGGCGGCUAUUCAAGUCAGAGGUGAAAAGCCCCGGGGCUCAACCCCGGAACUGCCUUUGAAACUAGAUAGCUUGAAUCCAGGAGAGGUGAGUGGAAUUCCGAGUGUAGAGGUGAAAUUCGUAGAUAUUCGGAAGAACACCAGUGGCGAAGGCGGCUCACUGGACUGGUAUUGACGCUGAGGUGCGAAAGCGUGGGGAGCAAACAG
rnacentral:rRNA from 1 species